rnacentral:rRNA from 1 species
GACGAACGCUGGCGGCGCGCUUAACACAUGCAAGUCGAACGGAAAGGCCUGCUUUCCCUUGUGGAUUGCGGGUACUCGAGUGGCGAACGGGUGAGUAACACGUGAGUGAUCUGCCCCCAACUUGGGUAUAAGCCUGGGAAACUGGGUCUAAUUCCCGCUAGCACUGCAGGGUGGUGCCUGUGGUGGAAAACGACUUUCUAGUGGUUGGGGAUGAGCUCGCGGCCUAUCCGCUGGUUGGUGGGGUAAUGGCCUACCAAGGCGACGACGGGUAGCGGGAGUGAGACGAUGAGGAGCGACGCUGAAAUUGGGACACGGUCACGACCCCUACGGGUGGGAGAAGCAGGGAUUGGGGAUAAUGGGGAAUGAGCGUGAGCCUGAUGCAGCGAGUCGGCGUGGAGGAUGACGGCCUUGGAGAUGUAAUCUCCUGGGGAAGAAGAGGUAGCCGCCUGGUUGGAGGGGUGGUGACGGUAGUGGUAGAAGAAGCACCGGCUAACUACGUG